GGCCUGAUGGUCUAGUGGUAUGAUUCCUGCUUUGGGUUGACAUUGUCACAUCGCCUAUUCUGCAGGAGGCCCCGGGUGUAAGUUCAUCCAUCACGGUUCGACAUCGAACGCUUUACUAAUAAGCGUGCAGUCGAAUCCCGGUCAGGCCC